GAUGCACCUUCCAAACAUAAAUGGAUAAUAUGCCCAAAAGAUUCAGGCCCAUUAAAAGCCCAAUUAAAAUUAUAGCGCCGAAGAUACCGCCCGAGUCCCGACUAAUGCAUCUCUUAUCUUUCUAAAAAGCGCCAAACCCGUGGCAAUAUGUCAUAGUAUCUGAUCCGUACUUGACCCGUUCAAAUACCAACGGGCUAUAGGAUCCGGCUUCAUACCCGGAAUAUAUGGGCCUAAAUGAUAGAAAGCCAAACGUCUAAUUGAAGGACUUUCAUCAUCAAUAAUUCAGUAUUAUGUUCAUCAACUGAAGGACUUCCAUCAUUAGUAUCUUCUUUUUGUUUUUUUAUCCAUCAUCAUCAGUAUCUUCUGUUCUUCUUCAACAACAAUUUCAGU